rnacentral:rRNA from 1 species
UUAAAUUGAAGAGUUUGAUCAUGGCUCAGAUUGAACGCUGGCGGCAGGCCUAACACAUGCAAGUCGAACGGUAACAGGAAUCAGCUUGCUGAUUUGCUGACGAGUGGCGGACGGGUGAGUAAUGUCUGGGAAACUGCCUGAUGGAGGGGGAUAACUA